rnacentral:rRNA from 1 species
UUGACCUCGGAUCAGGUAGGGAUACCCGCUGAACUUAAGCAUAUCAAUAAGCGGAGGAAAAGAAACCAACAGGGAUUGCCCUAGUAACGGCGAGUGAAGCGGCAACAGCUCAAAUUUGAAAUCUGGCGUCUUCGGCGUCCGAGUUGUAAUUUGCAGAGGGCGCUUUGGCAUCGGCAGCGGUCCAAGUUCCUUGGAACAGGACGUCACAGAGGGUGAGAAUCCCGUACGUGGUCGCUAGCCUUUACCGUGUAAAGCCCCUUCGACGAGUCGAGUUGUUUGGGAAUGCAGCUCUAAAUGGGAGGUAAAUUUCUUCUAAAGCUAAAUACUGGCCAGAGACCGAUAGCGCACAAGUAGAGUGAUCGAAAGAUGAAAAGCACUUUGGAAAGAGAGUUAAAAAGCACGUGAAAUUGUUGAAAGGGAAGCGCUUGCAGCCAGACUUGCCUGUAGUUGCUCAUCCGGGUUUCUACCCGGUGCACUCUUCUAUAGGCAGGCCAGCAUCAGUUUGGGCGGUUGGAUAAAGGUCUCUGUCAUGUACCUCUCUUCGGGGAGAACUUAUAGGGGAGACGACAUGCAACCAGCCCGGACUGAGGUCCGCGCAUCUGCUAGGAUGCUGGCGUAAUGGCUGUAAGCGGCCCGUCUUGAAACACGGACCAAGGAGUCUAACAUCUAUGCGAGUGUUUGGGUGUCAAGCCCGAGCGCGUAAUGAAAGUGAACGGAGGUGGGAACCUUUCGGGGUGCACCAUCGACCGAUCCUGAUGUCUUCGGAUGGAUUUGA